GCCGCUUCAGCGAUGUAAUUCAACUGGAGAAAGGAUAAAGUGUCCAAACACAGAGAAAAACUCCUCCAGAAUCGACUGAUCUCCACACUGUUAUAAAGAUGGCGUUUAUUAAACAGGAGAGUGAAGAUGUGAAAAUUGAAGACACAUUCAGAGUCAAACAAGAAGAUCUGCAGGAACAAACAG